rnacentral:lncRNA from 1 species
AAUUGCUCCUGACCCCCAUCCAGGGCAGAAAUACCCAUCCUGGAUGCAUUGCAAAGCUUUCUGCUGGGCUACCUUCCAAGAAAACCUUAACACAAAUGCUAGUUCAACUCAACAAAUAUUUACAAGGCUCUACCAGAGGAUCCACUGUAGUCUAGCACAUAAACACUUGCAGAGCCAAUAGGCAAAUAUGUAAGAGGCCCACACCAGGGCAACCAUGUUCCCCUUCUGUUUUCUUAAGUCUCUACUUCUACAUAAGACUUCUACACUUUCACGGCCCUUUCCUCAAGCCACCAUGAUGAGGAAACAGAUCUAAAAUGAAAAAGGGAUUUGCCCAAAGUCACAAAGUGAGUGAAGGCAGUCUUGAUUUGAACUCAAAAUUCUUUUGGUUUGUGGGGUUCCUUUCAGCUCUUCUGAUCAGUUCUCUUGCCCUCUAAUUACCAGCCUUGAGUCAUUCCUAAAACUAGCCCAUACAGGCUUAGAGAAGGUAUCCAUACCAGUUUAAGAGAUUCUGGCACUUUUUACUUAAAUGUUUCCUUUUUAUCUCUGUUAUGGGUCGAAGUGUAUGGAGUUCUAGCUACAAGAAUGAUGAACCUGUCUGAUUUCAUCUAUAUCAUGUUCAGUUCAAGGAGUACAGAGAAAAACUGAAGAAUGUCCAGAAAGGAGCAGGAAGGAUGAUAAGAGGAUUGGAAACUGUACAACAUAGAACUUGACAAGAAUGGGGAUGUUAUAUCUACAGAAGAGAAAAGGGAUGGUAAAAAGGUACUUUCUUCAAAGAUUUUAAAGGUUGUCAGAAGAAAGAAUUAAACUUACACUGCUUGGCCCUGAAGGACAGAACAGGAAGCACUAGGUAUAAGUUAUAGGGUAGUAGAUUUCAGGCAAGUAAGAGGAAAAGACACUUUCUAACCAUGAGAGCAUCCCAAGAGUGGAAUGGCUUGCCUUGGAAGUGGGUGAACUUUCCAUCACCGGUGACCUUUGAGAGGAGGCUGGAUGACCAUUUGCCAGACAUGUUAUAGAGAGGAUUCCUGUUCAGAUCAUUGUAUUCAGAACACAAAUGAGCAGGUCCACAUGACUGCCCUUCCUGUAGCCAACACACAAUUCCACUGCAUCAAGCAUUUAUUAAGCACCCACUUUGUACCAGG